AAACUAACAAGGAUUCCCCUAGUAACGGCGAGUGAAGCGGGAAGAGCUCAAAUUUGAAAUCUGGCAGUCUUCGAUUGUCCGAGUUGUAAUCUAUAGAGGCGUUUUCCGUGCCGGACCGUGUCCAAGUCUCCUGGAAAGGAGUAUCAAAGAGGGUGAUAAUCCCGUACUUAACACGACCACCGGUGCUCUGUGAUACGUCUUCUACGAGUCGAGUUGUUUGGGAAUGCAGCUCAAAAUGGGUGGUGAAUUCCAUCUAAAGCUAAAUAUUGGCGAGAGACCGAUAGCGAACAAGUACCGUGAGGGAAAGAUGAAAAGCACUUUGGAAAGAGAGUUAAACAGUACGUGAAAUUGUUGAAAGGGAAACGAUUGAAGUCAGUCGUGUUCUUUGGAUUCAGCCAGUUCUGCUGGUCUACUUCCUUUGAACGGGUCAACAUCAGUUUUGUCCGGUGGAUAAAGGCAGUAGGAAUGUAGCUUCUCCGGAAGUGUUAUAGCCUAUUGUUACAUACACUGGGUGAGACUGAGGACUGCAGCUCGCCUUUAUGGCCGACCUUCGGGUACGUUCGAGCUUAGGAUGUUGACAUAAUGGCUUUAAACGAC
rnacentral:rRNA from 1 species